rnacentral:rRNA from 1 species
CCGAAGUUAAGCAACGUCGAGCCGAGUCAGUACUUGGGAGGGAGACCACUUGGGAACACUCGGUGUCGUAAGCU